rnacentral:rRNA from 1 species
GGGCCCGCACAAGCGGUGGAGCAUGUGGUUUAAUUCGAUGCAACGCGAAGAACCUUACCAGGGCUUGACAUACUACAGAUCCCUUUGAGAAAAGGGAGUGCCUUCGGGAAUGUAGAUACAGGUGGUGCAUGGCUGUCGUCAGCUCGUGUCGUGAGAUGUUGGGUUAAGUCCCGCAACGAGCGCAACCCUUAUUUUUAGUUACCAAUUCGUUGGGUUCUCUAGAAAGACUGCCGGUGACAAACCGGAGGAAGGUGAGGAUGACGUCAAGUCAGCAUGCCCCUUAUGUCCUGGGCUACACACGUGCUACAAUGGUUAAGACAAAGAGUCGCAAGCUUGCAAGAGUUAGCUAAUCUCAUAAACUUAGCCUAAGUUCAGAUUGUAGGCUGCAACUCGCCUACAUGAAGUUGGAAUCGCUAGUAAUCG